CCUCGAGAGGAUCACAGGUUUUAUUCCUGCUGCAGGAAGAAGAAACAUGAUGAAUAUGUGACAGAAGAUCUAAAGGGGGGGAGAUCAGUGCUUCUGUCAGUGUCAAUGGGAGCAAAAACAUUCUGAUAAAACUAACAGAGUUCAAUUAUGUUGUCAUAGCAACAGCAUUUAGGUUUGCUGGUGUAUGAAGAAAAAUGGCGGGAAAAAAGGUCACAAUAACAGCAGCGUCUUAGAAACAAACAAACAAACAAAAUAAGAACAAAAACCGAGUUGGUGG